CCUACGGGAGGCAGCAGUGAGGAAUAUUGGUCAAUGGGCGGAAGCCUGAACCAGCCAAGUCGCGUGAAGGAAGAAGGUACUAAGUAUUGUAAACUUCUUUUGUCGGGGGACAAAGGCAGGCACGCGUCUCCGGAUGAGUGUACCCGAAGAAAAAGCAUCGGCUAACUCCGUGCCAGCAGCCGCGGUAAUACGGAGGAUGCGAGCGUUAUCCGGAUUUAUUGGGUUUAAAGGGUGCGCAGGCGGGCGAUCAAGUCAGCGGUAAAAGGCCGGGGCUCAACCCCGGCCGGCCGUUGAAACUGGUUGUCUAGAGUUGGCGAGAGGUAUGCGGAAUGCGUGGUGUAGCGGUGAAAUGCUUAGAUAUCACGAAGAACUCCGAUUGCGAAGGCAGCAUACCGGCUCCAUACUGACGCUGAGGCACGAAAGCGUGGGGAUCGAACAGGAUUAGAUACCCUAGUAGUC
rnacentral:rRNA from 1 species